rnacentral:rRNA from 1 species
GACGAACGCUGGCGGCGUGCUUAACACAUGCAAGUCGAACGGAAAGGCCCUGCUUUUGUGGGGUGCUCGAGUGGCGAACGGGUGAGUAACACGUGAGUAACCUGCCCUUGACUUUGGGAUAACUUCAGGAAACUGGGGCUAAUACCGGAUAGGAGCUCCUGCUGCAUGGUGGGGGUUGGAAAGUUUCGGCGGUUGGGGAUGGACUCGCGGCUUAUCAGCUUGUUGGUGGGGUAGUGGCUUACCAAGGCUUUGACGGGUAGCCGGCCUGAGAGGGUGACCGGCCACAUGGGGACUGGGAAACGGCCCAGACUCCUACGGGGGGCACGAGGGGGGAAUAUUGCACAAGGGGCGGAAGCCUGUGGCAGCAACGCCGGGUGGGGGAGGACGGCCUUCGGGUGGUAAACCGCUUUCGCCUGUGACGAAGCGUGAGGGACGGUAAUUGGUAAAGAAGCACCGGCUAACUACGU